AUUAAUUGCUAGGUCCUUGAGAGGCCCACGUCAAUGGUUUCACAGCUUUUCAGGCAUUUGGGAAAGGCUGAAAAAUUACUAUCCGCAGCGGAAAGCGCUAUCCGCGGUCCCUACAUGAUGGCGCUCUUAAGUAAGGAUUUGAAUUCGUGCUUUCCUCGAUCCAGUUAAUUUAACAGUUCAGUUGGUAGAGCGGGGGGAUUUUUUACUAAUUGAAAUUCUCGACUCUCAUGUACUUAAAUAUAUAAAGACUUGAAUUUGUGUUCUCCCAACUAACUCGAUAUCUAAGUGUCAGCGUUGCAGUUUGGGUGUUAUUGAUUAAC
rnacentral:lncRNA from 1 species